GAAAGUGAGAAACCCUCUUCUCAUAAAUGGUGCAGUGCCACUCAUUUCUGUUGCAGGCUUUAGCCUGAAACAAAACAAGAGGGACCCAUCACCCUUACUAGUUACUACCUCUUUCUCUCUCUCUCUCCAAUCCUGCAAUCAUCACACAAAAAAUCAAUCUUGAUCAAGAUUAUUAGGGAUGUAGGAUGAUGAUGAUGAGCAUAAACUAGGUGAUCAAGAUUCAAGAAACAGGAAAAGGGGGUUGCUUUUUUAACCAUUUUUAGGGGAAUGUGAGAAUGGAGGGUAAGAAAGUUGGUUGCUUUUUUGUUUGAGUGAAGAGUUAAAAGGGUUGAAGGAAGUUACAAUGGCUACUAUUUGGUUGCAAGAGUGUGAAGUGAUGAUGUAAGCUAAAAUGGAGUGUUUUGUGGUGAUGAAGAUGAAAUCUUGCAGGGAGAUCUAUUUAUUAUAAAUGCUUUUCUUUCAUCCAGCCCACCACCCUGUACGGUUUCUCUAUUCCCACACACUUAUAUUGUUACUUGUUUGGUUCAGGCAUAAAAUAUUAGUUAUGAUGUUAAAACUAUUUAUUUGAUUUAUGUUUAAUUUGGUUAGGGAAAAUUAAUUUUCCUUUACUC
rnacentral:lncRNA from 1 species